rnacentral:rRNA from 1 species
AUUGAACGCUGGCGGCAUGCCUUACACAUGCAAGUCGAACGGUAACAGGCCGCAAGGUGCUGACGAGUGGCGAACGGGUGAGUAAUGCAUCGGAACGUGCCCAGUCGUGGGGGAUAACUGCUCGAAAGAGCAGCUAAUACCGCAUACGACCUGAGGGUGAAAGCGGGGGACCGUAAGGCCUCGCGCGAUUGGAGCGGCCGAUGUCAGAUAGCUAGUUGGUGGGGUAAAGGCCUACCAAGGCAACGAUCUGUAGUUGGUCUGAGAGGACGACCAGCCACACUGGGACUGAGACACGGCCCAGACUCCUACGGGAGGCGGCAGUGGGGAAUUUUGGACAAUGGGCGCAAGCCUGAUCCAGCAAUGCCGCGUGCAGGAAGAAGGCCUUCGGGUUGUAAACUGCUUUUGUCAGGGAAGAAAUCUUCUGGGCUAAUACCCCGGGAGGAUGACGGUACCUGAAGAAUAAGCACCGGCUAACUACGUGCCAGCCGCCGCCGUAAGAC